UGAGGAAUAUUGGUCAAUGGGCGGGAGCCUGAACCAGCCAAGUCGCGUGAAGGAAGAAGGAUCUAUGGUUCGUAAACUUCUUUUGCAGGGGAAUAAAGUGCAGGACGUGUCCUGUUUUGUAUGUACCCUGAGAAUAAGGAUCGGCUAACUCCGUGCCAGCAGCCGCGGUAAUACGGAGGAUCCGAGCGUUAUCCGGAUUUAUUGGGUUUAAAGGGUGCGUAGGUGGUUUGAUAAGUCAGCGGUGAAAGUUUGCAGCUUAACUGUAAAAAUGCCGUUGAAACUGUCGGGCUUGAGUGUAAAUGAGNUAGGCGGAAUGCGUGGUGUAGCGGUGAAAUGCAUAGAUAUCACGCAGAACUCCGAUUGCGAGGGCAGCUUACUAAGCUACAACUGACACUGAAGCACGAAAGCGUGGGGAUCAAACA
rnacentral:rRNA from 1 species